AGUGGCUGUCCAGGGGAAUAUUUGUUUUGAAAACAAAUUUUAUGUGUUCAAUUCACUUAGUCACUU
rnacentral:tRNA from 1 species